rnacentral:rRNA from 1 species
AUUGAACGCUGGCGGCAUGCCUUACACAUGCAAGUCGAACGGCAGCACGGGAGCAAUCCUGGUGGCGAGUGGCGAACGGGUGAGUAAUAUAUCGGAACGUGCCCAGUCGUGGGGAUAACGUAGCGAAAGCUACGCUAAUACCGCAUACGAUCUAUGGAUGAAAGCGGGGGAUCGCAAGACCUCGCGCGAUUGGAGCGGCCGAUAUCAGAUUAGGUAGUUGGUGAGGUAAAGGCUCACCAAGCCGACGAUCUGUAGCUGGUCUGAGAGGACGACCAGCCACACUGGGACUGAGACACGGCCCAGACUCCUACGGGAGGCAGCAGUGGGGGAAUUUUUGGACAAUGGGCGCAAGCCUGAUCCAGCAAUGCCGCGUGCAGGAUGAA